GUGGAGUCUGGGAGUUGUAAAACUCCUUCAUAUUUUGCUCGAAGUGUACCUGCUCAUAGAGACAAGGAAGAGAUCAAGUGCAUUGGCCCUAUUGGUGGAAAACACCAACAGAACCAAAAGUGUAUUUGUUCUCUCUAACCUUAAGCAGAGUGAGCAAGACAAAAGUUGAUGGAUAAUAAGAUCAUGAGUGUAGCAUUUAAAACAUUUGUCAGAUC
rnacentral:lncRNA from 1 species